CAGGUCAAGCGUGUGCUCCCGGUCCACCACAGUGCCCAGGAGCCCGUCAAAGUGCUCGAAUGCAGCCUGGGCCAUCUCCUCGUGAUCAGACAGAACCUGCCCAUCGACUAUGAGGCUAUGCACGCGAUUCUUCUGGCGGCGGUAAGUGCACUGCCGGUGGAAGAAGCUCGUGUUCGCAUCUCCCUCCGCGAGGAAGGUGAUACGGGCGCGCUGCCGCGCGAUAGUGCGCUCCAGGGAGGCGAGCCCAAGGUAUGACAGCUUGAGCUGCCUGCGC
rnacentral:lncRNA from 1 species